UGAAGCAAGUCAUAGUAGGGAAAGGUCCAUUUGUCAAGAAACAGACAACAGGCUCUAGUCAACAGCCACAAGAAGCUUAGGCUCUCAGUCAAUAGUCUACAUGAAAUUGAACUCUGCCAACAACAACACAAUUUUGGGAACCAUCCUUCCCCAGCCAAGCACACCCAUCCAUUGGCCUCCACCUGGCAGGCUCCUGCCUGGACCUCCUCACUGAACCCCUGGAAAAAUAAGAUUCUACUUUUGCUGAAAGAUCACAGAGAGGCAGGACAUUGCCCCCCCGCUGACCAUGGAUCUCCUCUUCUGCCUGGACCCAAACUGUCCAGUACACAAGAACUUCGGUCCCAUUCCAGAGCUCAACACACAUUUGCUACACUCCUUAAGGGACAGGCUUCCUUCUUCCUUGCCAACCUCUGUGGCUAAGUUCUCAGUAAACUUUAAAGCUACACACUUUGAAUGGGAGAAGACAUUCUGCUCUGAUUCCUGGGAAAUGUGUCUCUUUCCAUGUCCAAAUGGCUGGCUUAGUGCGAGAAAAACAAACACCACUGCCUCCUCUAUGGAAAGAUGUGCCCCCUGCCCCAGGGCUUGCUCCACAUCUGCCUUCAAUCACGCCAACACUCCUUCAUCAUUAUUCUCACGGCUUACCACCCCUGCGCGGAGCUCUGAGUGGGAGUCUUCUUUGGGGCGAGUGUGCACACAUGCGUGGGAAUGUGGACACAAGCAGUACCAUACGCCACACAGCCUUCGGAAAUCUGGCUUUUCAACUCAAUAACAUUUCUGGAGAUCUUUCCAAAUCAGUGCGCAUCUCAUUUCAAAAUGAAUGUUGCGUUCGAUGGUAUAUGCAAAUCACUAUUUAUUCCCAUCAUCCUUCUGCAGAGGGUCCUUCAGUUGUCAAGGAUGUUCUAUGAUGACAGAUAAGGCUGACGUGAGCAUCCUUGGACAUAUGCUGAUUUGAGUAUUUAUCCUUAACACAACCCUAGAAAAGUUGAAUCGUUGGAUCCCAGGAGUUUGUGUAUAAAGUUUUAAUAAAUACCGGCAAGUCGUCCCCUGUGGUGGUCAUGCCAAAUCAUGUGCCCAUUUGCAACAUGAGGGAGUACCCACAUCCCCUCACCAGCUCGUACAGGUACU